rnacentral:sRNA from 1 species
UGUCUUGUAAGAUGUAAGAAGCUUGCAUAACCCCUGUGAACAACCAUAGGAGAAUGUGAAGUUUCCAAAGGAACGUUUAAAGUUAGUUCCGAAGUAGUCUUCCUGAUCAUGUGUGCAAGACUUCAUGACCAAGCUCCCAGAUGAUCCAGGUCAGUCCUGUUUGGGCUUUUAGAAACCAGAGGAGUUGGAAAUUCAGGGACAGUCUUGUCAAAAUUCUCCAUCUUGAUUUGAUAUUCACCUUUGGAACCUCGGGUCAACAGAGAUGCAAAACAGUGAUGUAACAUGAU